CCGCGGGAGUGACAGGGGAGCGCUCAGAGGAAAGCAGCUCUGCAGAGAAAGUCACUCUGGCUCUUGUCUCUCGGUCCACCAGCCGGCGACGCUUCUUCUAUAAAAGCAUUCCUAGAAAAUAACCCUAAAACCGGGAAGGGUAGCGAUCGUUGAGCGCAAUUUCCAGGAGCCGGUCCCCGAAGCCGGUAGAGGUCCCUCUCCCCCCGCGGCUGGCGCGGAAUGUGGCGAUCCGGCCCGGCGCGGGGGAUGAUUUCUUGCGGCCGGAGCUCGGCGGCGGAAGCAGCUGCUGCAGCUUGCAGGUGUGGUGGGGCCGGCCGAGCUGACCACGCACAGACCCGGCGCGGCGGCACUGCGGCCCGGGGGCAGCCGGCGCCGGGGACAUGCGCUGAUUCGAUCCCUCCGGAGAAGUUUCCUGAGUUUCUGGGAAGGCCUGGUUUCCCCAAAGGAAUGAUUUCUGGUAGAAGUCUGAAGGUCUGACCCAAGAAAAAAACUCCAGUAUAGCCAAUGACUUGAGGACAAGAAGGUUUCCAAUCAGUGUGAUCCCAGAAGUCUCACCAAGAGAUGGUGUUGAUUCUUCUCAGUGCAAGAGGGAUCAUGAUUGACUGAUGGCUCCAGUUACUGUUACCAGCACAGGACAGAGCCUGGUGUGGCCAAGAAAGCGGGCCAUUCCUGUGAAUACAAGACUGCCCCAACAGGCAUACUGUUGCUGCGUUUAACCUCACUGAAGCCAGACUAAUCCAGAGAUGUUCUUAGCUUCCUGUGACUCAUAUGAAGGUUAUCAUUUUAGAAGAGACCUUGAAAACAUACUCUGGAUUUAGGGGGGAAAAAAAACUCUGACAUUUCCAAGAGGAAAAGCUUUUUUUAAGUUUUAUAUUGUAGAUGCAGAGCUUAAAGCAUUUAAACACAUACAGCAAGCAAUAUAAUAUGAAUCAUGUAACAAAAGUUAAAUUUAAGUGAAAACCUUGUGUGGUAUGUUGCAGUCACAAAAGAAGAUACAAAAUUAAUGUGGACACCUGCUUGUUUUACUUGUAUCAGGAGAAAAUAAAAUUAAUUGUCAUUUAAUGAAUUGCUUUCUGUUGUAGCACACUUAAUUAUCUCUUCCUGUAACCCCAAGAAGUAUCUUUUCAAACUCACAGCUGUAUCUGAAUAGGGGCUACCAACUAAAGAGACUGUUUCCUUGCCACAGGUGAUCACAGGCUUAGGCAAACCCAGACCGUAUUUAGCUGUUGGCCUUCUGUUUCCCUUAACACAGGAGAUGAAUGCUAACCCCUUUUCCAGCUAGCUGCAUGUGGAACAGUUCUGGCUUCAGUCCCCUGCCACCUGCCGGCUCUGGGAUCUCAGGGUGCUCCUGGGAGAAUCAUAGGAAUGCGGAUGAACCCCUGAAAGAGACCUGAUGGUGCAGAGAAGGCAUCCGACAGAGGAUCAUGAAGCAGAGAGCAAAGAAGUGGGGUUGAAAAGAGGGAGGUAUACGCGGAGAUUGUUUUUCAUCUCAAAAUGUGCCAUUGUAUUCUACAUUCUCCUUGAAACAUUUCAAGGGCUCCAUUUGCAUAUAUUAGAUGCUUACUUCUUUUCACAUCAUGUUCUCCAUUCCUACCGAAUUACGUGUCAAUCUAUGAACUGUUUCUCCUUUGUACUUCUGUCACUUUAGUACAUUAACAAUUGCAAGUAGAGGUUUUCCACAGUGUGUUUUCCUCUUGGUACAACUUCUUUUGAAUCUAUCCUGUGUAUACAGAAAGAUCUCAAGCGUGUGGGCCAGUCAGAAUGAAGCCAAGCCCGCACUGGUGGAAGUCUACAUUCUAGAAGGGCUCCAAAGACACAAGGACACACAGUUGCAGUGAUUACAGUACUCAAACCUACCUAGAUUAGUUGCAAAGAUACUUCUUUAGCACUAUUUUCACAUUAAUUCUAUUAUUGUUUAAAUAUAAUUGCGUUUCUCUAGUUGAUGUAAGUAAAUCCUUUGCUUAAAAUAUUUCAUUUUGUUUCAACUGUUAAUUUGUUUUCUGAAAUGAGUGUAAUAAAUACAAAUUUUUAUUUGUCCUAACAAUUAAAAUGCAUGGAUUAACCCCCAGCUUGUACAAAUGCAGAAUCAUUACUAUCCCUAACAAUGUAAAACUCUGACAAAUUAGAUAUCACUAUUUCUUAAGGAAAAUUGAUCAUAAGAUAAUUUUUGGACCUAAAAAUCUGCAUUUGUCUCAAGCACAUUUAACAUGCAUUCAUGGGAGAAGGAUCAUCUUUUUUCUGUUUCAUAUACAACUCUGUUAAGUGGAUAUCUUAUGUUUUCUUACAUUUCCUGCAUAUAAUUUAAAGGAAAAAAAAGCCACCCAAAAAGAGAAUAGAGGGAAUGAAUGUCUCAAUCCUUUUUUAAUUGUAUCACUGAUUCUUGGGGGGGUAUAGUGUGAUAGCUUCUGUAUUUUCUUUACUCCCUCCCUCCCCAAUUUUACUGAGUUGUGGUUGACUAUAACAUUGUAUAAGUUUAAAGAGUACAACAUAAUGAUUUGAUACAUGCAUAUAAUGUGAAAUGAUUACCACAAUAAAUUUAGUUAACAUCUGUCACCUCA